UUAGGUCGACCCCGCUGAAUUUAAGCAUAUCACUAAGCGGAGGAAAAGAAACUAACCAGGAUUCCCCUAGUAACUGCGAGUGAAGGGGGAUUAGCCCAGCACCGAAGCCUGCGGUCGUUUGACUGCUAGGCAAUGUGGUGUUCAGGUUUUCUCUUGGCAUUACUGCUCCAUCCUAAGUCCAGCACUGAGUAUGGCAUCUGGAAUGGCCCAUGGAGGGUGAAAGGCCCGUGGGGGUGGAGAUCAAGUCGGCCAGUUUUGCCCUGAGGAAACCUUGGAGUCGGGUUGUUUGUGAAUGCAGCCCAAAGCGGGUGGUAAACUCCAUCCAAGGCUAAAUACUAGCACGAGUCCGAUAGCGAACAAGUACCGUGAGGGAAAGUUGAAAAGUACUUUGAAGAGAGAGUAAACAGUGCGUGAAACCGCUCAGAGGUAAACGGGUGGAGUUGAACUGUAAGCUCCGGGGAUUCAGCUGGUGAGUGUGUCAUGAGCUUGGUCAUUUUCGGCCGGCCUCUAGAGUCCGCUUAGCUGCGGGUCCUUGUUUCUUCGGAAUUGAGGAUGCGCGUCGCACUUGUCAAGUGCUGUGCGCUCUGGGGGUUGCCGGGCUGGCUCGCCGGUGCACUUUCUCGGAGUGGUCACCACGACCGGCGUUGUUGUCUUGCUGCUGUAGUCGAACCGGUCAGGUUUGGUCCUUGUGGCUGAAUUUGAUCGGGAUGGCAGGUAGCUCAUUGGUUGGCUUGUCCAGUCUUUGGGUGUAAUCAGCUGGCUGCAGUAGUAGUGUGCAAUACGUCGGAGACGGCGGCUCGAGGUAUUUGCUUAUGUGCCGUUGGCUGGCAGUGUCGGGUUUGAUUGGCGUGUUUACCUGCUUCGGCAGGUCCGCUGGUAGCUCGAUGCUGUUCGGUUGGCGGUUGCAUUUGUGAUACCGCUCAUGGGCCCAUAGUCUGUGG
rnacentral:rRNA from 1 species